rnacentral:rRNA from 1 species
UGCCAGCAGCCGCGGUAAUACGGAGGGGGUUAGCGUUGUUCGGAAUUACUGGGCGUAAAGCGCACGUAGGCGGUCUAUUUAGUUAGAGGUGAAAGGCCUGGGCUCAACCUAGGAACUGCCUUUAAUACUGGUAGACUAGAGUCCGGGAGAGGGUAGCGGAAUUCCAAGUGUAGAGGUGAAAUUCGUAGAUAUUUGGAAGAACACCGGUGGCGAAGGCGGCUACCUGGACCGGCACUGACGCUGAGGUGCGAAAGCGUGGGGGGCAAACAGGAUUAGAUA